rnacentral:rRNA from 1 species
AGAGUUUGAUCCUGGCUCAGGACGAACGCUGGCGGCGUGCUUAACACAUGCAAGUCGAGCGGUAAGGCCUCUUUGGGGGUACACGAGCGGCGAACGGGUGAGUAACACGUGGGUGACCUGCCUCCUACUCUGGGAUAAGCUUGGGAAACUGGGUCUAAUACCGGAUAUGACCACAUGUCGCAUGGUGUGUGGUGGAAAGCCAGGGACUUUUGUUUCUGGUGGUGGGGGAUGGGCCCGCGGCCUAUCAGCUUGUUGGUGGGGUGAUGGCCUACCAAGGCGACGACGGGUAGCCGGCCUGAGAGGGCGACCGGCCACACUGGGACUGAGACACGGCCCAGACUCCUACGGGAGGCAGCAGUGGGGAAUAUUGCGCAAUGGGCGGAAGCCUGACGCAGCGACGCCGCGUGGGGGAUGACGGCCUUCGGGUUGUAAACCUCUUUCGCCAGGGACGAAGCGUGUGUGACGGUACCUGGAGAAGAAGCACCGGCCAACUACGUGCCAGCAGCCGCGGUAAUAC